GACGAACGCUGGCGGCGUGCCUAAUACAUGCAAGUCGAACGCACAGUUUAUACCGUUGCUUGCUACACCAUAGACUGUGAGUUGCGAACGGGUGAGUAACGCGUAGGUAACCUGCCUGGUAUCGGGGGAUAACUAUUGGAAACGUUAGCUAAUACCGCAUAAUAUUAAUUAUUCCAUGAUAAUUAAUUGAAAGGUUCAAUUGCACCACUACCAGCUGGACCCGUUUUGUAUUAGCUAGUAGGGGAGGUAACGGCUCACCUAGGCCAAGAUACAUAGCCGAACUGAGAGGGUGGUCGGCCACACUGGGAAUGGGACACGGCCCAAACUCCUACGGGAAGGAACAAGAAGGAAACUUCGGCAAAGGGGGGAAGGCUGAACGGGCAACGGCGCGGGAGUGAAGGAGGGUUUCGGAACGGAAAGAUCUGUUGUAAGGGAAGAAAGGGUGGGGGAGUGGAAAGUUCACACUGUGACGGUAUCUAACCAGAAAGGGACGGCUAACUACGUG
rnacentral:rRNA from 1 species